rnacentral:sRNA from 1 species
GGAUCGGGGUUGGGGUGGAGGUGGCAACGACUCCCCGGGUAGGUCGCCCCCAGUCAGGGGUCAUACUGCUCACUCUGCUGGGUCGCUUAGGGAUUUCGUGGAGCGGGAGGUGAUCGACUUCGCCCGACGGAACCCAGGGGUCGUAAUAUAUGUAAACUCGCGUCCGUGCUGCGUGCCCAGAGUAGUGGCCGAAUACCUUAACGGGGCUGUGCGCGAGGAGAGCAUCCACUGCAAGUCGGUCGAGGAGAUCUCGACGCUGGUGCAGAAGCUGGCCGACCAGUCGGGCUUGGACGUGAUCCGCAUCCGCAAGCCCUUCCACACCGACAACCCUAGCAUCCAGGGCCAGUGGCACCCCUUCACCAACAAGCCGACCACGUUCAGCGGGCUACGCCCCCGAGAGGUUCAGGAUCCUGCCCCAGCCCAGGUGCAAGCACAGUGAAGAGGUGCCCCACCAACUCCAGCCCCAGGCUUUGGACUGUUUCUCCAGUAAAGGUGGUUCUUCCCCUUUGGGAUUCCAAGCCCAGGCAAAUGGAACCAUCAGUGGGCAAGUUGACAGAGGUUCUGCUUGGGAUAAUGAAGAGCUGCCUGUUUCUUUCCAGUGCCUGCUUCUAGGGGCAGUGACCUUGUGAACCACUCAUUUUUAUGCAAGUGGCAUCCCUAAAACCUGAGAUAAGGAAGACUUCAAGGGUUUUACAGGGCCCUUGUUUUUUAAAUCCAAAUUGAUAAUAAUGAUCUCAAAACACAGUGAGAGGUCUGAAGGCUGGCUUCUGAAGAAUCCCUGAUGUCUUAUUGGUACAACCACUGAGCUAUGGAGAGCUCUGCUGUGAUGGGCUAGGCACUUUAUAUCUGUGUGAAUAAAGAUUUAUAAAACUGAGGUUAAUAAACUUGUCCAAGGUCA